GAUACAUUUCAGACUCAAUAACACAUCUCAAUAAGGUUUGGUCUGCCUAAUUGCUGCCUCCUCUGAAGCCGUGCCCACUACCAUGGCCCCUGCUGUCUAAGCUCCAGCCUCUGAGGCCUCACUUCUGUUCUGCUGUCUGAAACCCUCUUUCUAAUUCUCCAAAAUGGCAGAUUAGAGAUGAUCACAAAUUCAUUGACAUUUCUCCAUCAACAGGUGGAAAUAUGUGUUCCCUCCCCUUGAAUCCGGACACGCUAUCUGACCAAUCAGGUCCAAGAGACAUAACACUCUGGUGUUUUGCGACCUUCAGCCACAGACUAGAAGCUACCAUCUUCUCUCUCUUUCUCUCUUUCCACCUGGAGCUGCCAUAUAAGAAGCCUGACUGCUUUGCUAGAGAGGAGAAGGAAGGAAAAAGUGACUGACUUCUGCCUCAAGACAUCCUCCUCGGCUUUUAAUGCCUUGGAUUGCAGCAGCGACUAUGGGACAAGCUAAUCCACUGGGAUGGUGAAGCAGAAAGGUGGAAAGAGCUUAGGUCAUUGAGGAUGUCAGUGAGCCUCAAAGUUAACCAACUCUGAACCCCCUACUUCCGUAUUUAGCAGUCAUGUGACUUUGGAAAUACCAACCAAGCCCUGUUUUCUUUACUUGCAAAAUGAGGAUAAAAACACUCAUGUCAUAGUAUUAUUGUGCAGAUUGAUUGGAUUAGGAAUCUGUACACCUGCAAUGCUUAGCAGAGUGCCUGAGUCUAAAAAAAAUGGUAGAUGAUAAUAAUAAGAUGGUUAAUAUUAAAAAUAAUACUACUGAUGAUUGUUGCUUAUCCUAAGAAGAGUAGAGUGAGGUCAUUACCUCCCAUAUUUAUGCUUUAGGUAAUCUGCUUUUCUUAGUGUAACUUUGAGAUUAUGUUAGGGUUUGGCUUGUUUGCUGAUUCAUCUUCUAAAGUUUUAAAAAUUAUGAUCAUAAUCUAAAUAUAUAUAUUUUUCUAAUGGAUGACAUCAUUGAUUCAUUCCUGGGUAGAGUCAGGAUAGGUUUUUAUCACAUGAACUUCUUUUGAGCCAGCUCUGCUUUCUGCUUUCUCAGUAAAUUUGCAAGCAGCACCAGGACUGGACACCACGUGCUAGUGGUCCAGGCUGGGUAGAUUUGGUUGCGCACCAUGAUGAAUGUUGCCCUGGGAGGUUGGCAGCCUCAUCCCUUUCAUGCUAUGUUAAUCAGACACACCAGUGCUCAUGUAUCAUAAGCAUGGCAAUUAGAGAUGAACCUCAAGGGGGGCAGUCUCAGGACAACCUCCCAUUAGAGCUAUUUUCAAUUCCUCUGGCCCCUUCUCUGCAGUGGACUCAGCCAGCUAGGCUGGGCUGUUAACUCUCCCUCUUUUCAAUGUGCUCUGGGACAUCUCAGGGUAAAUUGCAGACUUUCCAGCAUGGCCUCAAAGAUGAGAGAUAACCUGGCAUUGUGGUUGCCAAAGAAGACCCCGGAGUCAAAUUCUUCUGGUGGAGUUUGUCCAUCUAUGUUUGUGUGAUCUUAGGUGAGUUACUUUCCAUUGCAAGGGUCAUUCGUUUCUGCACUUUUAAAAUGAAGCAGUUGGACUUCUCAGCUGCAAGGUUCUCAGAUUAAAAAACUGCCAGACAAAUCUAUUUCUCAUGCGGGCAUGUAUUAAUUAAUUUAUUUUUCGCAGAAAGAAGUUUCUCUCAGGGUGAAGGUUCUUAGUGCUUGAAUAAAAUAAGUUAUCUUCAAGUGUGCCACACAUUUUUAUAAUAUUCAAUUGUCUUCUCGUCUGGAUGAAAAGACCCCAAAUUUUACACAGUAAAGUUCACAUCAAUCUUUUAUUUCCACCAGAUAGCUCAAGGUUAUGAUGUUCUCUUGUCUUUGAAAGAAAACAAGGCCAGACAGAGCGGAAUGUAUGAAUUAGGCCUAGCUUUCCUCUUGGAGGAACAGGAGGGCAAUGCUACUGCCCCAUUUUUUGCUGUUCAUAAUUUAUUAUUACAGAGAUUUAUAAAGGGCCUUUUCAUAUGCACUUCACAAAGCAGAUUGGAACAGAAAAGUCAUCUAGUGAAACCUACUAAAUUACUGAUAUAGGGAGAAAGUUGAGUUGGGUUUGAGGAGCCCAACGUGACGAAUACUACUGUUCUUAGAGAUCAUUACUAAGACUCUGUUCCUUGGAGGACCUUAUGCUUCUACUCUGAGCACCAGGAAAAGGAAUGGGGGCGAAGUGUGGGUCUCUCUGAACUCUCCAUCUUGUUCAAUUGCUGCCACUUUAGGAGUCAUUAAAUGGGAAUGUCACAAUGCCAGCUUCUAUUGCCUUUGCUAACUUUCUAGAACAUUCUCCCCAAAACGUUUUAGCCUCUUCCAAUGCCAUUAUCUUCAUAUCGUACUCCUUCUAGAAAGCCUCCUUUGACC
rnacentral:lncRNA from 1 species